UAAGGAAUAUUGGACAAUGGGGGCAACCCUGAUCCAGCCAUGCCGCGUGCAGGAUGAAGGCGCUAUGCGUCGUAAACUGCUUUUAUACGGGAAGAAACUCCUUGAUUCGUUCGAGGAUUGACGGUACUGUAAGAAUAAGGAUCGGCUAACUCCGUGCCAGCAGCCGCGGUAAUACGGAGGAUCCAAGCGUUAUCCGGAUUUAUUGGGUUUAAAGGGUGCGUAGGCGUCCUUGUAAGUUAUAGUUGAAAUCUCUCCGCUCAACGGGGAAAUUGGCUGUAAAACUGCAGGGAUUGAGUACAGUUGAGGUGGGCGGAAUGUGUCAUGUAGCGGUGAAAUGUAUAGAUAUGACACAGAACACCGAUUGCGAAGGCAGCUCGCUAAACUGUAACUGACGCUGAGGCACGAAAGCGUGGGUAGCAAACAGGAUUAGAUACCCCCGUAGUCC
rnacentral:rRNA from 1 species